AGAGUUUGAUCCUGGCUCAGGAUGAACGCUGGCGGUAUGCUUAACACAUGCAAGUCGAACGAUGAAAUUUCGCUAAACCUUCGGGAGAAGUGAAACGGAUUAGUGGCGAACGGGUGAGUAACGCGUGGGUAACCUGCCCUAUGGAGAGGGAUAGCCUCGGGAAACCGGGAGUAAAACCUCAUAGUCAAAGAAAGCGCAUGCUAUUUUUGAGAAAACUCAGGUGCCAUAGGAUGGACCCGCGUCCCAUUAGCUAGUUGGAGAGAUAACAGCUCCCCAAGGCGACGAUGGGUAACCGGUCUGAGAGGGCGAACGGUCACACUGGAACUGAGACACGGUCCAGACUCCUACGGGAGGCAGCAGUGGGGAAUAUUGCGCAAUGGAGGGAACUCUGACGCAGCAAUACCGCGUGAGUGAAGAAGGUUUUCGGAUUGUAAAACUCUGUUAUUGGGGAAGAAAGAAAUGACGGUACCCGAUGAGGAAGUCCCGGCUAACUAUGUGCCAGCAGCCGCGGUAAUACAUAGGGGACAAGCGUUAUCCGGAUUGACUGGGCGUAAAGGGCGCGUAGGUGGCCUUAUAAGUCAGGUGUGAAAGGUAUCGGCUCAACCGAUAAAUUGCACUUGAAACUGUGAGGCUUGAGUAUUGGAGAGGCAAGUGGAAUUCCUAGUGUAGCGGUGAAAUGCGUAGAUAUUAGGAGGAACACCGGUGGCGAAGGCGGCUUGCUGGACAAAUACUGACACUGAGGCGCGAAAGCGUGGGUAGCGAACAGGAUUAGAUACCCUGGUAGUCCACGCCGUAAACGAUGAAUGCUAGGUAUUGGGGGAACUCAGUGCCGACGUUAACACAAUAAGCAUUCCGCCUGGGGAGUACGUGCGCAAGCAUGAAACUCAAAGGAAUUGACGGGGACCCGCACAAGCAGCGGAGCAUGUGGUUUAAUUCGAAGCAACGCGAAGAACCUUACCAGGUCUUGACAUCCUUUGCACGUUUUAGAGAUAGAACAUUCCCUUCGGGGACAAAGAGACAGGUGGUGCAUGGUUGUCGUCAGCUCGUGUCGUGAGAUGUUGGGUUAAGUCCCGCAACGAGCGCAACCCCUGUUGCUAGUUACCAUCAUUCAGUUGGGGACUCUAGCGAGACAGCCGUAGACAAUACGGAGGAAGGUGGGGACGACGUCAAAUCAUCAUGCCCCUUAUGAUCUGGGCUACACACGUGCUACAAUGGUCUGUAACAGAGGGAAGCGAAGCCGCGAGGUGAAGCGAACCCCAGAAAACAGAUCUCAGUUCGGAUUGCAGGCUGCAACUCGCCUGCAUGAAGUUGGAGUUGCUAGUAAUCGCGAAUCAGCAUGUCGCGGUGAAUGCGUUCCCGGGUCUUGUACACACCGCCCGUCACACCACGAAAGUUGGCAACACCCGAAGUCAGUGAGGUAACCGCAAGGGACCAGCUGCCGAAGGUGGGGCGAAUGAUUGGGGUGAAGUCGUAACAAGGUAACC
rnacentral:rRNA from 1 species